GGUGUUGGUGAUACCAGUAUAGCUCGUUCAUUGCCCUGGCAUUAAUUAGAGAAUACUUUAGGUUCAGUGUAGGAGGUAUGACUGAUGUGGCUGAGAUAAAGGGACACAGGAGAGCAUAUGUUGGUGCAAUGCCUGGUAAAGUGAUACAGUUUAGAGAAAGUACUAACUGAGAAUCUACUCAUACUGAUUGAUGAACUGGGACAUGGUACCAGAGAGUCAUUGGCUCAGAUCAUUGAGGCUGG